rnacentral:rRNA from 1 species
UACGAAGGGGGGCGAGCGUUGUUCGGAUUUACUGGGCGUAAAGGGCGCGCAGGCGGCUUUGUUUGUCAGGCGUGAAAGCCCCGGGCUUAACCUGGGAACUGCGUUUGAUACGGCAGGGCUAGAGUUCGGGAGAGGAGAGUGGAAUUCCCAGUGUAGAGGUGAAAUUCGUAGAUAUUGGGAGGAACACCAGUGGCGAAGGCGGCUCACUGGUCCAUUACUGACGCUGAGGUGCGAAAGCGUGGGGAGCAAACAGG